ACACUCCGGUUUCUCUUCAAAUCGCAUAAAUCUUUCGCCUUUUACUAAAGAUUUCCGUGGAGAGAAACAAUUUUGAGUCUUAGCUUAAUUUUUUGAGACCUUCUUUUUGGAAGGUU
rnacentral:snRNA from 1 species